GUCCUAUACUUGAAUAUAUGCAGGGGCGGAUUCAGAUGGGGGAGGGUUGCGGGCUUGUUGUCCCCUUAAAUUUGCAAAGCAUGGGUUGUUCUCAGCCUAAUAAAGAAAAUACCGAUAAUUUUACCUCAAUUUUUUUUUAGCCUCGAUCUGCUCGGCGAAAAUUUAAGUUUGCGCCUCUCCUAACCUAAAAUCCUGGAUCUGCCCCUCAUAUGGUUU
rnacentral:lncRNA from 1 species